AGCUGGUGAACUGGAGACUUAGAAGAACUGGUGCAGGGAUAGAUGGAGUCCUAGCUGGUUGGUUACCAGCAUGUGGAAACACUGAUUAUGACCACCGCCCUUCCAUCCCGUUGGUGUUACUGCUGGAGACCUGACCAGCGCUCCUCAAACAGCGCAACGACCCCCUGAUGGAGACCAGUGUUCUACAGCUUCACCGGCAGAAAGGACCUAUGUGUUCCUGGUGCAGCCGCUCCUGCUGGGCCACGAUGGAGGAUGGUUUGCCACCAGCAGAUACUGGAGCACAGCCCACGGGUUGGGAGUGGAGGAAGGAAAAAGCUGCAGCUUGGCUACUUCUCUCUGACUACCAGCCAGCUCCAUAUCUCAGGAUGGAUCCAGCAGGAACAUGGGAGCUGACAUCCAAAAAGCCCCAGUGCUCUGCCAGGGCCACACAGGUAGCAAAGAGCCUGAUAUAAAAUCAAGUGCAACA